rnacentral:rRNA from 1 species
CACGUAGGGUGCGAGCGUUGUCCGGAAUUAUUGGGCGUAAAGAGCUCGUAGGCGGUGUGUCGCGUCGGCCGUGAAAACCUGCAGCUUAACUGUGGGCUUGCGGUCGAUACGGGCAUCACUGGAGUUAGGCAGGGGAGACUGGAAUUCCUGGUGUAGCGGUGAAAUGCGCAGAUAUCAGGAGGAACACCGGUGGCGAAGGCGGGUCUCUGGGCCGAUACUGACGCUGAGGAGCGAAAGCGUGGGGAGCGAACAGG